UAAAACGUAGGAGGCGAGCGUUAUCCGGAGUUACUGGGCGUAAAGCGCAUGUAGGCGGUUGGGCAAGUUGCGUGUGAAAGCUCCCGGCUAAACUGGGAGAGGACACGUAAGACUGCUCGACUAGAGUGUGGUAGAGGGGCGUGGAAUUCCGGGUGUAGCGGUGAAAUGUGUAGAGAUCCGGAGGAACACCAGUGGUGCAAACGGCGCCCUGGGCCGCCACUGACGCUGAGAUGCGAAAGCGUGGGGAGCGAACGGGAUUAGAGACCCCGGUAGUCCACGCCGUAAACGAUGCGAACUAGGUGUUCACUCGCAAGAGGGAGUGCCGAAGCUAACGCGCUAAGUUCGCCGCCUGGGGAGUACGGUCGCAAGGCUA
rnacentral:rRNA from 1 species